rnacentral:lncRNA from 1 species
AGCGUGGCAGGCCCUGCGCUGUGGAUUGACACGGAGCUGGCGUCCUGUACUGGUUACCCGGGGUCUGAGCUGAGACUGGCUUUCGUCCGGUGGCCCUGCUCAUGAAGCCAUACUCAUUGCUGGGCCCUCCCCUCCCCAGCUCUCAACUCCUGACUGAUCUGCCUGAUCCUGGCCAGCUCACACCAGAGUCCCAGCCCAGACCCGGCUCAGAGUGUCACCUGAGGAGCAGGUGUGUGGGCGGUGUCCCCCGUGAUGGGCAGCUAGCCAAGCUCUGGGCCACCUGGGCUCCCCGGUCCCUUCCCUUCCCCUCUUAUCCCCAGGAGGACAUCAGGUGGACGUGGUGGGUGGGGUUGAGUGCA